rnacentral:rRNA from 1 species
UUAAAGCAUUAAAUUUAAAAGAUUUGGCGGUAUUUUAAAUAAUUAGAGGAACCUGUAUGAUAAUUGAUAAUCCACAAUAAGAUAAACUUAAUAAUUUAUGUAUUGCUGUUUAAAGAUUAUUAUUAAUUAAAUUUUUAAAUUUUUAAUAUAAUUUAAUUCAAGUCAAAAUAUAGUUUUAUUAAGAUAUGGGUUACAUUUUUAUUUUGAAAUUGGAUUUAAUAGUAA